rnacentral:rRNA from 2 species
AACUCUGGGUUGAUUGGUGCUUGCAUCAUGAUUUACAUUUGAGUGAGUGGCGAACUGGUGAGUAACACGUGGGAAACCUGCCCAGAAGCGGGGGAUAACACCUGGAAACAGAUGCUAAUACCGCAUAACAACUUGGACCGCAUGGUCCGAGUUUGAAAGAUGGCUUCGGCUAUCACUUUUGGAUGGUCCCGCGGCGUAUUAGCUAGAUGGUGGGGUAACGGCUCACCAUGGCAAUGAUACGUAGCCGACCUGAGAGGGUAAUCGGCCACAUUGGGACUGAGACACGGCCCAAACUCCUACGGGAGGCAGCAGUAGGGAAUCUUCCACAAUGGACGAAAGUCUGAUGGAGCAACGCCGCGUGAGUGAAGAAGGGUUUCGGCUCGUAAAACUCUGUUGUUAAAGAAGAACAUAUCUGAGAGUAACUGUUCAGGUAUUGACGGUAUUUAACCAGAAAGCCACGGCUAACUACGUGCCAGCAGCCGCGGUAAUACGUAGGUGGCAAGCGUUGUCCGGAUUUAUUGGGCGUAAAGCGAGCGCAGGCGGUUUUUUAAGUCUGAUGUGAAAGCCUUCGGCUCAACCGAAGAAGUGCAUCGGAAACUGGGAAACUUGAGUGCAGAAGAGGACAGUGGAACUCCAUGUGUAGCGGUGAAAUGCGUAGAUAUAUGGAAGAACACCAGUGGCGAAGGCGGCUGUCUGGUCUGUAACUGACGCUGAGGCUCGAAAGUAUGGGUAGCAAACAGGAUUAGAUACCCUGGUAGUCCAUACCGUAAACGAUGAAUGCUAAGUGUUGGAGGGUUUCCGCCCUUCAGUGCUGCAGCUAACGCAUUAAGCAUU